rnacentral:rRNA from 1 species
UACGUAGGGUCCGAGCGUUGUCCGGAAUUACUGGGCGUAAAGAGCUCGUAGGUGGUUUGUCGCGUUGUUCGUGAAAACUCACAGCUUAACUGUGGGCGUGCGGGCGAUACGGGCAGACUUGAGUACGUGCAGGGGAGACUGGAAUUCCUGGUGUAGCGGUGGAAAUGCGCAGAUAUCAGGAGGAACACCGGUGGCGAAGGCGGGUCUCUGGGCCGAUAUUGACGCUGAGGAGCGAAAGCGUGGGGAGCGAACAGG